rnacentral:misc_RNA from 1 species
AAUUCUCAACCUUAUUAGCUUUUGCUAAUGAUGGCUUGGAUGUGGGGGUUUUUUUUGCUGGCUUCGUCAUAGAGGUCAGCUCCCCUUAAAUGCAUUAGCCGGUGCCCCGCGUGGACUCGUCUAUUGGUGUGAUAAUUAUCUACGCCGUGGAUGUCUGCAAUUAUAUGGGUUUGUACUGCUUCUAACUGUCUGUUUAUUCAGACAAUACAUGACA